rnacentral:rRNA from 1 species
GACGAACGCUGGCGGCGUGCUUAACACAUGCAAGUCGAACGAUGAACCCGGAGCUUGCUCUGGGGGAUUAGUGGCGAACGGGUGAGUAACACGUGAGUAACCUGCCCUGGACUCUGGGAUAAGCGUUGGAAACGACGUCUAAUACCGGAUAGGACCUUGGAUCGCAUGAUCUGGGGUGGAAAGUUUUUUCGGUCUGGGAUGGACUCGCGGCCUAUCAGCUUGUUGGUGAGGUAAUGGCUCACCAAGGCGUCGACGGGUAGCCGGCCUGAGAGGGUGACCGGCCACACUGGGACUGAGACACGGCCCAGACUCCUACGGGAGGCAGCAGUGGGGAAUAUUGCACAAUGGGCGAAAGCCUGAUGCAGCAACGCCGCGUGCGGGAUGACGGCCUUCGGGUUGUAAACCGCUUUUAGUAGGGAAGAAGGGCUUCGGCUUGACGGUACCUGCAGAAAAGGGACCGGCUAACUACGUG